GCCGAAAUGGCGGAACUGGCAGACGCGCUGCGUUCAGGGCGCAGUGGGAGCAAUCCUGUGGGGGUUCGAAUCCCCCUUUCGGCA
rnacentral:tRNA from 1 species